rnacentral:rRNA from 1 species
UACGUAGGGUGCGAGCGUUAAUCGGAAUUACUGGGCGUAAAGCGUGCGCAGGCGGUUUUGUAAGCCAGAUGUGAAAUCCCCGGGCUUAACCUGGGAAUGGCAUUUGGGGACUGCAAGGCUGGAGUUUGGCAGAGGAGACUGGAAUUCCUGGUGUAGCAGUGAAAUGCGUAGAUAUCAGGAGGAACACCGGUGGCGAAGGCGCCACUCUGGGCCGAAACUGACGCUGAGGAGCGAAAGCGUGGGUAGCAAACAGG